AUUUUCGAAUGGUUUUUAUGAAUAAAUGAAUUAGAGUUUAAAAACAAAAGCUUCCGUGUGGGGAGCACUUUUAAAUAGGAUGUUUGUUGUAUUGUGCAUUGCAUCAUCCAGCGCCUAAGGAGUGCUUAGAGGCAUGCAUCAUUCUAAGGAUUGUUAGCUGUAUGGAAAUGCAUAUCAUGCCUUGGUUGUUGAUUGGUAAAUGUAGAUUGUGGUUGUGAUCCUGUUGUAUCGUUGGUACGCCGUGCAAAUACAAAGGAGACUCUGUCCGAGUGGACAGAGGAACUUUGUAUUUGUGGCGGGUCUGUACGUCGCGUGGGCCAGGUUGAAAAAAAAAAAAAAAAGGCACGUUUUCCGCAACUCUAUUUUAAAAAGGCUUUUAAAAUCGGCCGCGGGGCGUGACAGGAUCAACAGAAAACAGAAGAAUAUAGAGUUUUUUUGUUGAAUAGUGUAUAGGG
rnacentral:lncRNA from 1 species